UGGUCUUGACAUAGUGAGAAUCCUGCAGAGAUGCGGGAGUGCCUUCGGGAAUUCACAUACAGGUGCUGCAUGGCUGUCGUCAGCUCGUGUCGUGAGAUGUUGGGUUAAGUCCCGCAACGAGCGCAACCCUUUUCCUUAUUUGCCAGCGGGUUAAGCCGGGAACUUUAAGGAUACUGCCAGUGACAAACUGGAGGAAGGCGGGGACGACGUCAAGUCAUCAUGGCCCUUACGACCAGGG
rnacentral:rRNA from 1 species